rnacentral:lncRNA from 1 species
GUGUCUUCCAUUAAAAAUGUUUUCCAGAGAUUCAUUAACCUCUCAAGUCGGGUUCGAAAAUAUUCAGGCUGCUGCUUCCUUUUAGAGGGAUCCUUUUUGUAGUUCCUGAUGCUGUUUUGGAUCUCCUCGCCCGCGGCCAAUUGCCUGUCCAGCACAACAUUAAUGCUUGAUGAUGCCAUUUUUUUAUUAUUUAUCGUACUACUUUGACCCGAUGGUGGUAAUUUGUUUGUCGUUAUGACAGGCUGUGCCUCUACUCACAACCAAAAAAGGUGGUCAAAUUAGUCUAACAAAUUUUUUAAUGACAGUGUGGAAUAUUUUUUAUCUUUAAUCCAACCAUAGUCGCCAAGUUGACUGUGUCGGUUUGGGUAGAUUAAAAAAAAUCCAGCUAGUUUUCCUUCACAGAAGGUUAUGAGAAAUUACAACUGUGAUUGAUGAUGUAUGUAUGUAAAUUGGUUGCCAAGUUGACCAAUUAUAUAGGAUUUUCCAAAUAAAUCCAAGUUCCAAAUCGGGAACAAUACUCCAGAUGAAAGGUUAAAUGUCCAAAAGUUGGGGGUCACCAAAUGAAUAAAUCAAAUGAAUCUGUUGAUGAAGAUUCACUUGGUUCUGGUGAUUGUCAAUAUGACAAUCGUAUACUAAAAUAUAAAUGUGUAUGCCACCGGUUCAUGUACCAGUAACAAAAUGUCGCCGCAGUCGGUACUUGAACAAAUUGGGCUUCGGAGAUGUGAAUACGUCAG